rnacentral:rRNA from 1 species
GACGAACGCUGGCGGCGUGCCUAAUACAUGCAAGUAGAACGCUGAAGAGAGGAGCUUGCUCUUCUUGGAUGAGUUGCGAACGGGUGAGUAACGCGUAGGUAACCUGCCUUGUAGCGGGGGAUAACUAUUGGAAACGAUAGCUAAUACCGCAUAACAAUGGAUGACACAUGUCAUUUAUUUGAAAGGGGCAAUUGCUCCACUACGAGAUGGACCUGCGUUGUAUUAGCUAGUAGGUGAGGUAAUGGCUCACCUAGGCGACGAUACAUAGCCGACCUGAGAGGGUGAUCGGCCACACUGGGACUGAGACACGGCCCAGACUCCUACGGGAGGCAGCAGUAGGGAAUCUUCAGCAAUGGGGGCAACCCUGACCGAGCAACGCCGCGUGAGUGAAGAAGGUUUUCGGAUCGUAAAGCUCUGUUGUAAGUCAAGAACGGGUGUGAGAGUGGAAAGUUCACACUGUGACGGUAGCUUACCAGAAAGGGACGGCUAACUACGUG